CCACUGAUGGCUAUAUUAAUAUUACCAAAUGUUUACAUGUUUCACUUUAAUUAGGAUAAAUAAAUAUCUGCUCACAGAUCAAUGAAAUUUGACAUUCUGAUUGUAAUUUAUGUCUUCAGUACUCACUGACAGAUCACAUAACAUCUGAUUAUUUGAAAAUAAACCCAUAACAUUAUGAUUUCCAGUGGAUUUCACUUAAUGCAGGUGGACCAUUAGCACCCCGAGCAGGUAAGCUUCAUUUAUUUUAAUGAUUGUUUAUUGUUAAGUUAGUCCUGACUGGACCAACCCUGAAUUCCAGGGCGAUUUGGUUCUUGGACUUUUAGCAGAACUCUGGUUUAUUUCUGUCUCUUUUUUGUGUAUUUUCAGUUUCUGUGUUUGGAAUCUGACAUAAAGUGAAGAAUGACAAAUAAAACUUCAGACAUUAAAGAUUCAAACCAAGCAAGGACUGAGGAUGACCUUGGACCAUUUACGAGGCCAACAGUAAAUAAAUGAAGGUAUUUCAGGACCAUGUCCAUAAAGAGGGACAUCCAAACCCCCGACCAAGCCCAUAACAGCCAGGACAGAUUUGACUUUUCAGUCAGCCGGGCUCCGUCCUCAUCAUCAUGGCCAAGAUCAUGGAUCUGAAGCUGAAGGUCGUUGACCUGGCUGGAGUGAAGAAACCCACCCUGAAGAAGGUCCGCAUGUUGGCCGACGCCAUGCUGAAGGCUCUGCUGGGCUCCAAGGACACGGUCAAACUGGGCCUGAGGGCCAACCUGAAGCAGGUCAAGAAAGAGGUGAAA